ACGACUCCCUGGGGCCGCUCCUGAGCUGCGGGGACUGCGUUGCGGGGCCGCCGCCGCAGGCCCGGCCUGGGAGUCGGGCUGCUCGGACCGGCCCCACGCGCGCGCUCGGCCGCCGGGAGCGCAGGGCGGUGCCGGAAUGUUCCCGUUUCGUGGGAAUUGAGUAACGCGAAGCCCCGGACUUAGACACACGGGCCUUCCCCUCCCCGCGGGCCCUGCCUGUCGCAGGGUGCCAUCCCCUGGGAGCGCCCGCCCUGCUCGGAGGGGUUGCUUCCUCCCGUGGUUCCGGGAGUAAAGACGGGGGCCGAGCGAGCCCUCGCGUGACCGCCUCGCCCCGUGUCGCCGCGUCUGGUCUCUGUUGUGAGCGCUCGGGCCACCUUGGAAACGCGGUGCUGCUGAGCCGCCGGUUGCAGGUUUCAAGAGGGCAUUGACAUUUAAGAUGCUCCGAGAGCUUCUUACCUGUCCUUUCCUGAGGAUGCCUGUCUUAGAUGUCAAGCUGAAAACAAACAAGAGGAUUGUGUUGACAGCCACUUUGAAAAUUUCAUUGUUUGUCACAUGAGGAAUUGCACUGCUUAUUGAUGACAACACAAUUUAUCAGCACUUCCAGGAAACAACUCAGCAGAUGUACAGCUGAUAAUAUUUAGAAGCAUGUCAUCUAUUCAUAAUACCUACUUAUGAACUUGAAAACACUUAAAACUCAUAUCUUAAUAAAUAAAAAUCAGGAGGAUAUUUUUUAGUAAAAUAAAGCCAAAAAACAUCUCCAAGGUCAGUGCAUGACUGAGAACUCAGGUCUGGGAUCUAAGGAAGACUCAAGUCCUUUAAUCUCCUAACUUCAGGAAGACAGCAUAUGGAGCUGUAUAGGAACCAGGGCCACCACAUCAUUCACAGAUUCUAGAGCUGUGGUGGGACGGCCCCUAAGCACAAACCUUACACAUUGGUCUGGGGAGAAUGUAAUCAUUCCUUCCACAACUGCUGCAUGUCCCUGUGGGUGAAACAGAACAAUCGCUGCCCUCUCUGCCAGCAAGACUGGGUGGUCCAAAGAAUCGGCAAAUGAGAGUGGUGAAAGGGCUUCUUAGUGCAUUUGUCCAGAGCCCUGGUGGAUCGCCUUAUCAAGUGCCCUACAACGACCAGGACACUCCGGAGGACUAAGUCUUCCAAUAGGGAGGAGAUGGAUCUUUGGUCCUUGAGGACUCAUCCAAGGCAUUGGGUUAGCAUUUUGUCAGUUUCAUUUUCAGAAAUUCUCUACAAUUAAGAAGAUAAUUUAUUAAAGAUGGCCUUUCCUAUCUCUGUGGUAUGUGUCACACUGCUUAGAAGUGCUAUAAAGGAGGAGAGAACUACAAAUUGACCUUUAUAAUUUACUUAUUGAUAUGUAAGGGACUGUGGAAGCAGUUCCGUUGGAAGUGAACUUUUGCAUGCUUUAAGGUUGAUCAGUUAAAAAAAAAGACAAUGUUAUAGUAACAAAUAAAAUGCAGUUUAAAACCCAACUCUUAUCCUUAAUUUGUUCUUGAUAUUUAUUUUAGACAGGAAAAGGGGUGAUUCAUUAAAUAUUUAUUUGAUAUGACAAUUUUAAGUUUGGGCCAGAGAGCAGAGUAAAUAAGAUUUCAUCUUUGGGCAUAUGGGAUUUUGCUUGUCUUUUAGGUUUUCGUUCUCUAUCAUUGACUCGUCAGAAAACCCUAGAUCUGCACACCUCACUGUUCAGUCAUUCACUGGGAAAGAACAGGGGUAUUUUCAAGUUUUAACCAGAGUAUGGUAUAAUUUAACUGUUUCAGGUGGACUGUUAAUAAGGGGGAAAUGUUUACCACUCUAGCAUCGGAUCAAAAAAAGUUUAUUUUAUUACACAGUGUUUUAAUAAACAGUUUAUUCUGUUUACUUCAUUUAAAUUGUCAUUAUUGCAAUUUUAUGCACAACCUUAAACUUGAUAUUAAUAAACUGAUUUGUCAAGUG